rnacentral:tRNA from 1 species
AAUUCCGCUGGGGGUA